CCUGGGCUACAAAGUGAGUUCCAGGAAAGGCACAAAGCUACACAGAGAAACCCUGUCUGAACAAAAACAAAAACAAAAAAAAGGGGGGGGGAUCUGUUCAGAUCCUUUGUCUGUUUUUCAGUUGCCCCGGUUCUGAGUGGGCUAUUUGCUUUCUUCCUGCUGGAGUCAUAGUUUGACUGUUUACCCUUUACCAGAUACUGUCAGAAAAUAUUUUAUUUCAGUUCAUACGUUGUUUCUUUUCCUGUUGAUCGUGCCUUUUCCUGAUUAAUGAAAUGCUGCCCGCUGUUAUUUCCUAUUCUUUGGGGGUCAGUAUGUGUAGUGGUCACUUCCACAGCAUUUUCACGGCAUACAUGAGAGAGAACAACUCCGGGUUCCUUCUGGCUCAUGCUCCCAGAAGUUGCACGUCAGCACAGCGGAGAAGGCAGAGCAGAGCAGCUUAGACGGUAUGGAAGCAACUGGGGGACUUGAUGGCAGCAGUGUAUGUGGUGCAUGCUGAUGACGUCACAGAACCAGGAAGUAAGGAGUCAGCCAGGACCAGAAGUCAGGUGGAUGUUAUCCCCUCUGAUGCUCCAUAUGUUUCAUCUAUCAUUAAUGAGAGCCCCUGAGAUCGGCUGUUGCCUCCUUUUGACAUGUCCCCAAAAGUCAUACAUAUGCACCCAUUUCUGACGUAAGGUGCCAAUGAUUUACCUUUUGGGUUCUUUCCAUGAAGAAGAUUCAUAAGAUGGGCAAAACUUAUCAUUCACAUCUUUUUAUAAAAGUGGGCUGACCUGAAGAAGUCAACCCCAGCCUUCCAGGGGGCAAGCUGCUCCCAGAGCUGGCAGAGGGCCCAGGCUAGUGGGUAGUGGAAAAACAACUACAAAAGACACUUGAAAAUCCCACACAAGACAGCAAGACUCCCAAAGUCUUUUGCCUAUGGGAGGUCAGUGUUAUUUUUAUUAUCAUGUCUAACAUCAACCCAAG